GAGGUCGUUGCAAAAACAGAAGAGGAGAUCAAUAAUGUUAAUGUGGAAUCUUAUAUGGUUUCAUUUCCCCAUCUGGUUUCCAUUAAAUUGGAUUAUCUGAAUAAUCUCCAUUGUUUCUGUCAACAACCUUAUGCUUUUGAAUUCCCAUCCCUAGAGACUCUACUAAUAAGUAAGUGUCCUAAGUUGCAGACAUUUGUUACAGAAAAUAAAACUCUGAAGAUACCUAAGCUUAAGGGUGUAAAGCUUAAUGGCAACUACAUGGAGAUUUUUGAACAAGACCUUAAUGGCACCAUACAACACUUUUUUGAAGCAAACCAGUAAAAACCGGACAAAGAAUAACCAGAUAUGCACAGGAACAAGAAGAAGAAGUUGAAGAAGAAGAAGAAGAAGACCCAGAUAUGUAAACAAAAAAAUAUGUAUGGUAAGAAGAAGAAGAAGAAGGAGAGAUGCAAAUAAAAA